rnacentral:rRNA from 1 species
AUGCAGGUUGGAGUCAUUCCCGUGCUUGGCAGUAACUCUCAUAGUGGCCGUCACGAACAGUUAUGGGAUCCUGGAGGCAACACUUCAUUGGUGUGGCUCUACCAAGGUAUAUUGAUUGGUGGUCGGCAAUCAGUGGAUGCAAUUGAGUUCCCUUCUAGUUGUGAGGCAGCUCCCUUUCAAGGAGAGAGGUGUAUUAUGGUUCCCGCUUUCGUCGCCCACCACUACUACAUCACCGCCAUCCUCGACAAGGUUCAUUUCGUCCACGCAUACUACGAAGUUCCAGUCAACACUGGCCAUAACAUCCUCAAGGACUACUUCGACUUCGACCAAGUCUAUGUCAACAAGGACUACUACCUCGACACACCAGAGUCUUCAACCUCGUUCACGUCUACCUCGACCAUUGCUAAUUUUGUGAAGGCUACCACCACCAAUCUAACAGCGCCUUGGGACCCCGGCAGAAAUUUUUCGGCGCCGGCUUGGGGUCAAGCCGAGUUUCAAAGAGUGAGGAAUGUCACGAGAACAACUACAAUAUUACAUCAGGCACUUCAGGUAAAGACCAAGGAUGACCUGCUCGGCCCAAGUGGGGGACAAAGCCCAACCUACAGAACAGGAGAUGACCGAGUCCAGUAA